AGCAGCCGCGGUAAUUCCAGCUCCAAUAGCGUAUAUUAAAGUUGUUGCAGUUAAAAAGCUCGUAGUUGAAUUUCGGGAGCCGCGGGUCGGUUGGGCUUAACUGUCCAUCACUGGCUCCGCGGGUCUCUUACCUUCUGGCGAGGUCAGAUGUCAUUUAUCUGGUGUCUGGCGGAACCAGGACCAUUACCUUGAAAAAUUAGAGUGUUUAAAGCAGGCUUUAUCGUCUGAAUACAUUAGCAUGGAAUAAUAAAAUAGGACGGCUAAGGGUUCUAUUUUGUUGGUUUCUAGGACCACCGUAAUGAUUAAUAGGGAUAGUUGGGGGCAUUAGUAUUCAAUUGUCAGAGGUGAAAUUCUUGGAUUUAUUGAAGACUAACUACUGCGAAAGCAUUUGCCAAGGAUGUUUUCAUUAAUCAAGAACGAAAGUUAGGGGAUCGAAGACGAUCAGAUACC
rnacentral:rRNA from 1 species